GGCUGGUCAGAGUACAGUGGUGUCUACAAUUAAUUGAUCACAACCAUUUACAAUUUAUUUGUUCCUUCUCCCACUGCUUCACUUGACUAGGCUAAA
ensembl:misc_RNA Y_RNA Y RNA